UACGUAGGUGGCAAGCGUUGUCCGGAUUUACUGGGCGUAAAGAGCGCGCAGGCGGUCGUUCAAGUCGCGUGUGAAAGCCCCCGGCUCAACUGGGGAGGGUCACGCGAUACUGAUCGACUCGAAGGCAGGAGAGGGUAGUGGAAUUCCCGGUGUAGUGGUGAAAUGCGUAGAUAUCGGGAGGAACACCAGUGGCGAAGGCGACUUCCUGGCCUGUUCUUGACGCUGAGGCGCGAAAGCUAGGGGAGCGAACGGG
rnacentral:rRNA from 1 species